AACGCACGAGACCUGCGGACCUGCGGAAGGAUCAUUACCGAGUUUUCAACUCCCAAACCCCUGUGAACAUACCUAUCGUUGCCUCGGCGAGAGUAGCCCCAGGCGUUGGCGCAAGCCUUCGCCCUGGUAUCAGGCGCUCGCCGGAGGACCCAACUAAACUCUUGUAUUCUAAAGAAUCUUCUGAGUAACCAAAACAAAUAAAUUAAAACUUUCAACAAUGGAUCUCUAGAUCGGAAGAGC
rnacentral:misc_RNA from 1 species